rnacentral:lncRNA from 1 species
AGUGAGUCCAGGGAAAUUCUAGUGUGUAAGGGCUGAAGAACAGCUCCUCAAAUUGCUCCCAGUUGCUCAGCUCCUGGAGGUGACCUGCUCUGAAGAAUGGCUGCAUUGUCCCAUGAUGUUUGGAGAAGCAGGAUGACAUGAAGUCCUGAAGGAGGGUCUGGUCUGUCUUGACAAAAUGUCACGUUUUACUUACCAG